GACGAACCGUGCGAACGUUAUUCGGAAUCACUGGGCUUAAAGGGCGCGUAGGCGGGUCCGUUAGUCAGGGGUGAAAUCCCACGGCCCAACCGUGGAAGUGCCUCUGAUACUGCGGGCCUCGAGGGGGAUAGGGGCGUGCGGAACUCAGGGUGGAGCGGUGAAAUGCGUAGAUAUCCUGAGGAACACCGGUGGCGAAAGCGGCGCGCUGGAUCCCUUCUGACGCUGAGGCGCGAAAGCCAGGGGAGCAAACGGG
rnacentral:rRNA from 1 species